CAAUAGCGUAUAUUAAAGUUGUUGCAGUUAAAAAGCUCGUAGUUGGAUUUCUGGUGGGAGCGAUCGGUCUGGCGCUUAGCGCGAGUACUUGCAUCGUCUCCGGCCAUCCUUGGGGAGAGUCUGUCUGGCAUUAGGUUGUCGGGCAGAGGAUCCUCAUCGUUUACUGUGAAAAAAUUAGAGUGUUCAAAGCAGGCUUAUGCCGUUGAAUAUAUUAGCAUGGAAUAAUAAGAUAGGACUUUGGUACUAUUUUGUCGGUUUGCGCACCAAAGUAAUGAUUAAUAGGGACAGUUGGGGGUAUUCGUAUUCCGUUGUCGGAGGUGAAAUUCUUGGAUUUACGGAAGACGAACUACUGCGAAAGCAUUUACCAAGGAUGUUUUCAUUAA
rnacentral:rRNA from 1 species